rnacentral:hammerhead_ribozyme from 1 species
AUCCAGUUGAGGGGUCCAAAACAGGACAAAAUGCGCGUCCUGGAU